ACCAAAUUAGAUAUUUGUUUCCAGGAAACUUCUGAGGAAAUAAUAAGAAUAAGAAUGAUGAGAAAUGAUGUAAAAUAAAGUGCAACCUCAGCUGGUUUUUGGCAGCGGCUCUGAAUGAGUCUUGUGUGAAGGCAAACCAAAGCUGCAAGGAGGUUUCUGACUGUC